rnacentral:lncRNA from 1 species
GUUGUUACAUCAAUAGUCAUAUUAGCAACCCGUGCUAGUUGUUACAUCAAUAGUCAUAUUAGCACCCGGUGCUAGUUGUUAAGAUCAAUAGUCAUAUUAGCAACCUGUGCUAGUUGUUACAUCAGUAGUCAUAUUAGCAACCCGUGCUAGUUGUUACAUCACUAGUCAUAUUAGCAACCUGUGCUAGUUUGUUACAUCAAUAGUCAUAUUACAACCUGUCCUAGUUGUUACAUC